rnacentral:rRNA from 1 species
GAGGACGGGCGCCGGCAGGUGGCCGGUUGCGUUGCUUCCGCUUCGCGGCCGGUUGUUAGCCAGCUCGUCCGUGGCGCGACACCCGACCGAGGUUGAUCGGUUCCCGUACGGGAACUCGCCGUCCCCUUCCUACCCACGUAGGGAGCGGGCGCUCUGGCAGGCGUAUCGCGGUGUUGCCACGUCACUCUUCGUAGUGGCCGGUGCUCCGAGGUCGCUGUUGGCCGGAAGCGUCUCGCGGGGGUGCAUGCGGCUGGCAGCGAGUAGGUCGGUCACCCACCCGACCCGUCUUGAAACACGGACCAAGGAGUCUAACAUGUGCGCGAGUCACGGGGUCUUGAUUAGGCCCACAGGCGCAAUGAAAGUGAAGGUCGACCUCGACGUCGGCUGUGUUGGGAUUUCUCUCCCCANNNNNNCGGGGAGGGGAAGCACCAACGACCCGUCCUAUCCGAUUUAUCGGUUGGGCGGAGUCUGAGCGUACACGUUGGGACCCGAAAGAUGGUGAACUAUGCCUGGGCAGGACGAAGCCAGAGGAAACUCUGGUGGAGGUCCGUAGCGGUUCUGACGUGCAAAUCGAUCGUCAGACCCGGGUAUAGGGGCGAAAGA